CAUCCUUUGACAUCAGCACAGCUUUGAAAGGGGGAUGGGAGAGCGAGCAGAAAGCAGAAAAACCAGCUUUGAACUAUGCAUGCAAGGCCUCUUUCAAGCCUCAAAUUCUAGCUGACAAGACACUGCUGGAUUCCAUAGCUGGCCAGGAGAUGAUGUGAUUUCUGACACAUGUGGGCAGUGGGCACGCACCACCUGAGCAGCCUGCUGACCUCACACCUGCCCUGGCUUCACUGCUAUCUGAACAGCAGAAUUAAUUUUUUUUUUUUAAAGAGCACGUGCUUUCAGUUGGGUAACAGGAAUUUAGAUCUUAGCUGCCCUCCUGCCUCUGGGCCUUCACUGCUGACCUGUGGGUUGUCUGUCUGGAGGGGACGGCCACCGAUCACCAACGACCACUACGAAGCAGUGUUGAUGGCUCUCACUGCCACAUACCCCAGCCGCCUCCUCCUCCUCCGAGUGAUGCCAGAUGAACUCAGACACAAUUAGGAACGAGGUGUUCAGUGGCUCAGGAAGGAGCCCAGGAGCAGAUGCUUAUUGAAGAUCUGGGCUUUAAAGAGACAGAGACCUGCUCGCCAAUGAUUUAAUAUUUCGUAUGAGAUAAGAUGAAAAAAUGUGCCUAGCCUAUGACUGUGCUGAUGAGUGGGAAUACAGAAAUAAGGGGGAAAGGCUCCAAAGAGCUUUAUAUAUAAUAUACGGAAUAGCAGUCAAAGAAAUAGUGAAGACACUUUUUGAUGUAUUUUUCCUAAUGAUCUCAGAUCAAAGGAUCUCGCCUUUAUUAGUGAUUUACCCCAGGCUCUUUUGAAACCCUAUGCAUGUAAGUAGUUCUUUAAAGAACUCCAAGGCUGAUCUGGCCGUCACUGAUAAAACAGACUCUAAGAUAGAAAUAAAUAAACAAAUAAUAUGAGGGAAGAAAAGAAGACUUGAAUAAAGGUAAGGUAUACUUCUGAAUUGGAAAUAUAAAAAUAUAAAUACUGCAGCUAUGCUGAUAAUUUUCCCCCGAACUGAUCUACAGGUUUAAAGUAUUUCCAAUUAAAAUUCUGGUGGGCCUCUAUUUUUCCAGGUACUUAGCAAAAGUAUUCGAAAGUUCACCUGCAAAAAAUAAAAGAACAAGAAGAAUGAGAACACUACUAAUGAGAAAGGCUAGUCCUACCAACUAUAAAGCUAUAUGAAUUAAUGACAGUGUGAUGGGGCAAAAGAGGCAGAUUAAUGGAACACAAGCCACAGCCCCAAACUGAGAAAUAUGUUGACACAAAUGUAAUAUAAUAAAGAGUGUAUCUCAAAUCAGUGGAAGGGGAAGAAUUAGAUAAUUGCUUGGCAAUCUUGGGGCAGACAACUGAUUAACUAUAUGCAGAAAAAAGUCAAUUAAAGUGUUUUCACAUCACACCAAAAUAAAAUUUGAGAUGGCUUAAACAGUUAAAUAAAAAUCAAUCAAAACCACCACCCCCAAAUCCCUAUAACUUUUAGAAGAAAGGGAAAGUGAAUAAUCAA